rnacentral:rRNA from 1 species
CAAUAGCGUAUAUUAAAGUUGUUGCAGUUAAAAAGCUCGUAGUCGGACCUCUGGUCUCCGCCCUGGGUCUGCCGCAAGGUACGCACCCGGGGUGUUGGCCAUCCUCCUGAGGGCGCUGUGUGCUCUUUACUGGGUGUGCAGUGAACUCAGGACCUUUACUUUGAAAAAAUUAGAGUGUUCAAAGCAGGCUUUCGCUUGAAUACAUUAGCAUGGAAUAAUGGAAUAGGACUUUGGUUCUAUUUUGUUGGUUUCUAGGACCGAAGUAAUGAUUAAUAGGGAUAGUUGGGGGCAUUAGUAUUUAAUUGUCAGAGGUGAAAUUCUUGGAUUUAUGAAAGACUAACAUCUGCGAAAGCAUUUGCCAAGGAUGUUUNCAUUGA